CUCCCUCCCUCUCUCUGCCUCUGUUCUGCCACCUUCUCUACUCGGCGAUCAGCGUUUUUUGGCUUUUUCCAUUUGUGGAAGAUUACUGUAACGCUAUUGUACGACAACUUCCUGCCUCUUUUGGCUCUGGUGCUCAAAAACUGCAAAGGCACAGGCUCGCAGCACUUACUUUUUUCCCCCCUUCGGCCUUGAACUGCAGGAGCUCUGUGAGGAAGUAAGAGGAGGAAGGGGAUAUGUAAAGUGUAUCUGUCACUGAGGAGCUAUUUUGAUUGCAUUUCUGCUUUAAAAAAAAAAAACGGCAGAGAAUUAAAGAGGGCGAGAGGGGACCACAUGCCUAGCAGACACAAUGAGAGGGAGAGAGAAAAAAGCUUUAUUCCUACAGCCACAGGAAGCAGUGAGGAGCGCUGGAGGAAUAUGAAAUUGCAGUGGGCAGGGGCUCGGCAAAGACAAACAAUAUUUGUCAUCUGCAAACAUCAAGGACGCUUUAGGAGGAUUCUGAAGGAAGAAGAGACAGACAAGAGCGACGUAGAACUCCUCCUGAGAACAAGCGGGAAAUUAUAGACCACUUCGAUAUCACACCUCGGAGUGGACGACCUAUCCGAAGAGGGACGCGCCCUGACUGUAAUUAACAACUACUUCUGGCAGCUCCUCAACAGACAAACAUAUUGUCCCGAAUCAGGGCAGCUUUCGUAUGACAACAUCCAACCAAGGCAGUUAUGGCAAGAAAUACAGACUAAAGAUGAAUGAAAUCCAAAUGUUGAUACCAAGGCAUUAAAAGAAAAUGAAUGUAUGUACUUAUAUAUAUAUAUAUUUUUUUAUAUUUUUAGAUAUAAACUGAUCUCCCUUCAUUUUGCUCAUCAAACUUCAACAAAAUGUGGGAAAGAGAUUACGUUUGGAUUUUCGCACCAAAUCAUUUUUUCAACUGAAACAUAUUUUGUGAAUGUUUCCACACAACAUUGGUCCUGUGAUAUUAAAAUACCAAAGUAAAACACUGAUUCAAGUAGUAGAAACCCUGAAGUAGUUUUUUAGUUUUUAUAUUAAUAGUAUUAUAGCACUAGUAAGCACAAGAGUGUUAAUAAUGUUAAAAAAUUCAAAUAAUAAUUAAAUAUCCCCCUUUAAUGGCAUUACUCUUUACUCAUUGUAAUAUUUAAGUUAUUCUGGUAACUACAAGAGGCAUUUCAGUGAAAUAAAAAAAUAACUUGUACUCCUUGUUGUAUUAUAUUACUUAUUACCUUAUAUUACUUGUAUUAUUAUUAUGUGGUGUUAAUGUGCUAUAAGUUAACUGAGGACCUGGGGCAAAUUCUCAAAAAGAGUCAAAGAUGCAUUACAAUAAACGUAACAUUCUCCUUUUCUGUCCAUGUGACCAUCCUGUGCCAGGCUUGUUCAUACCUGAACUCUUGCUUUUCAGCUUCCCACUGAAGGCUGCUUCUACCCAUUGUAUUGUUGUGGCCAUCUUGUUUUAUUCCUCCUCUACAUUAAGCCAGGAGAGCACAGGCCCUGGCAUUUUAGGGGCCGUGUCAAAACGCCUGUGUCUGCACCGCAGGGCUGCGCGGAGUCCAACAGUCGAGCCAUACGCACUCAGCGGUUCACUGCCUCGACAAACACUUUGUGCAUGCUGCUUUGUUUUCUCACACAUACUCUCUAGAUUCCUUUCUCCCCUGAAAAACAGCAAAACAUGCAGCUUAUACACUUUAUCCAUUCCAUAAACAUGCUUUCCCCCUGGUGCCCGACCCAGAGCCACUGAGCCCUCAGCCCCCGAAUCACUUCACAGCACUUUGUCUCUCGUGAUCACCACAGAAAACUAAAAAGCUUUGAUCACACACAGUGAGGCUGGAAAUACUAUGGAUACUCAUCCAAUUCCCACUUCACCGAUGCAAUUUAAUGAGCUUUAUAAUUGCUUCUAACUUAAUGCAUGGAUAAAAAAAUAUCUGUGGCAUCCCUUAAAAGAGGAACAGUCCUGAUAUUGAUUUGAAAGUGACGAGGUUAAAAACUCUGAUUACCUAACUUUUAAUUGGCUGACGGACUGUAAUUGAUCUGCAUAAUGUUAUUAGCAGAGGGAUAUUUAUCUAUGUGGGAGAGAAGCAGCGCUUCACAGGACAGCUGCGUAAACAGAGGUUUUAUUACUCCAUGGGUUAUUUCUGCACAUUUAGUGGCUCUUUGCAAUUCAAGUAAAAUAUUAUUUUUUUUGUGCAGCAAAAUAAUGUGUUGAAGACACGCACCAAAUUUUAAAGAAAACAGACACAGUGCCAACACUGCAGGUCUAAAAAUGUACAUUGCACAUAUUCCUUAUUUGACCAUAUUUAUUAGUUCUCUCCUGUACUCCACUAAGUGCUACCUGCCACCUGCCUGUUGGCUCUGUUUUGCUUUAUCACCUCUGGAAAAUGUGCAAUAACUUACACAUAUACAGUAUACACUCAUUUUGGUUUUACACUUGAUUCCUGUAUAUAAUGUUACAUUAUUGUAUUUGACUUUUAUAUUGAGAUUUGUUUUUAUGGAGCUCUUUUUACUGAAUUUUAUUUAAAUUUAAUUUCUACUCUUGGUGCAUUGUCCAACACUAUUCAUUGUACUGUUGACCCUGUGUAUAAGAGAAAUACAACUUGACACUUAAUUUAUAUAUAUAUAUAUAUAUUUUAGAGUCUGUAAGUUACUGAAAGUAAUUUUCAUCUGAGGCCAA